UCUGCGGUAUUCGGAGUUUGGUUAGGUUUGGUAACGAGAGGGCGCUAAUCUCCAAAAGAUGUCUCAGUUCGGAUUGCACUCUGCAACUCGGGUGCAUGAAGUCGGAAUCGCUAGUAAUCGUGGAUCAGCAUGCCACGGUGAAUAC
rnacentral:ncRNA from 1 species